rnacentral:rRNA from 1 species
UUCCGGUUGAUCCUGCCGGACCCGACUGCUAUCAGAGUGAGAUUAAGCCAUGCGAGUUAACGUAGCAAUACGUGGCGCACGGCUCAGUAACACGUAGUCAACAUGCCCAGAGGACGUGGAUAACCUCGGGAAACUGAGUCUAAACCGCGAUAAGUGAGGAUUUCUGGAAUGGUUCCUGACUAAAAUCUAUAUGGCCUCUGGAUUGGACUGCGGCCGAUCAGGCUGUUGGUGAGGUAAUGGCCCACCAAACCUGUAACCGGUACGGGCUCUGAGAGGAGGAGCCCGGAGAUGGGCACUGAGACAAGGGCCCAGGCCCUAUGGGGCGCAGCAGGCGCGAAACCUCUGCAAUAGGCGAAAGCCUGACAGGGUUACUCUGGGUGACUUUCGCUAAGAAAGUCUUUUGGCACCUCUAAAAAGGGUGCAGAAUAAGGGGUGGGCAAGUCUGGUGUCAGCCGCCGCGGUAAUACCAGCACCCCGAGUGGUCGGGACGAUUAUUGGGCCUAAAGCAUCCGUAGCCGGUUCUGCAAGUCCCCCGUUAAAUCCAGCUGCUCAACAGAUGGGCCGCGGAGGAUACUACAGAGCUAGGAGGCAGGAGAGGCAAGCGGUACUCAGUGGGUAGGGGUAAAAUCCGUUGAUCCACUGAAGACCACCAGUGGCGAAGGCGGCUUGCCAGAAUGCGCUCGACGGUGAGGGAUGAAAGCUGGGGGAGCAAACCGGAUUAGAUACCCGGGUAGUCCCAG